CCUACGGGAGGCAGCAGUGGGGAAUAUUGGACAAUGGGGGGAACCCUGAUCCAGCGACGCCGCGUGAGUGAAGAAGUAUUUCGGUAUGUAAAGCUCUAUCAGCAGGGAAGAAAGAAGUGACGGUACCUGACUAAGAAGCCCCGGCUAACUACGUGCCAGCAGCCGCGGUAAUACGUAGGGGGCAAGCGUUAUCCGGAUUUACUGGGUGUAAAGGGAGCGUAGACGGCGAUGCAAGUCUGAAGUGAAAGGCGGGGGCUCAACCCCUGGACUGCUUUGGAAACUGUAUGGCUGGAGUGCAGGAGAGGUAAGUGGAAUUCCUAGUGUAGCGGUGAAAUGCGUAGAUAUUAGGAGGAACACCAGUGGCGAAGGCGGCUUACUGGACUGUAACUGACGUUGAGGCUCGAAAGCGUGGGGAGCAAACAGGAUUAGAUACCCUAGUAGUC
rnacentral:rRNA from 1 species